rnacentral:misc_RNA from 1 species
ACGAGUUUUAAUUGUUAGGGUUAGAGUUGAGCGUGGUUAAUCUAAUUAAUAUGUGCUUACUCUAAUCGAAACAAGUCCACUCAUUACUUAACACUUGUGGAACUUAUUCAUUACAACAUUAUUAUUUGUUAUUGGAACGUUUGAUUAUUAAAAAGUUAAUA